UACGGAAGGUCCGGGCGUUAUCCGGAUUUAUUGGGUUUAAAGGGAGCGCAGGCCGUCGGUUAAGCGUGUUGUGAAAUGCAGAUGCCCAACAUCUGACUUGCAGCGCGAACUGGCUGACUUGAGUACGCACGACGUUGGCGGAAUUUGCCGUGUAGCGGUGAAAUGCUUAGAUAUGGCGAAGAACUCCGAUUGCGAAGGCAGCUGACGGGAGCGCAACUGACGCUCAUGCUCGAAAGUGCGGGUAUCGAACAGG
rnacentral:rRNA from 1 species